rnacentral:rRNA from 18 species
UAAGGUCACGUCGAGACGAGCCGUUUAUCAUUACGAUAGGUGUCAAGUGGAAGUGCAGCGAUGUAUGCAGCUGAGGCAUCCUAACAGACCGAGAGAUUUGAAC